GCGGCGUGCCUAAUACAUGCAAGUCGAGCGAACGGACGAGAAGCUUGCUUCUCUGAUGUUAGCGGCGGACGGGUGAGUAACACGUGGAUAACCUACCUAUAAGACUGGGAUAACUUCGGGAAACCGGAGCUAAUACCGGAUAAUAUUUUGAACCGCAUGGUUCAAAAGUGAAAGACGGUCUUGCUGUCACUUAUAGAUGGAUCCGCGCUGCAUUAGCUAGUUGGUAAGGUAACGGCUUACCAAGGCAACGAUGCAUAGCCGACCUGAGAGGGUGAUCGGCCACACUGGAACUGAGACACGGUCCAGACUCCUACGGGAGGCAGCAGUAGGGAAUCUUCCGCAAUGGGCGAAAGCCUGACGGAGCAACGCCGCGUGAGUGAUGAAGGUCUUCGGAUCGUAAAACUCUGUUAUUAGGGAAGAACAUAUGUGUAAGUAACUGUGCACAUCUUGACGGUACCUAAUCAGAAAGCCACGGCUAACUACGUGCCAGCAGCCGCGGUAAUACGUAGGUGGCAAGCGUUAUCCGGAAUUAUUGGGCGUAAAGCGCGCGUAGGCGGUUUUUUAAGUCUGAUGUGAAAGCCCACGGCUCAACCGUGGAGGGUCAUUGGAAACUGGAAAACUUGAGUGCAGAAGAGGAAAGUGGAAUUCCAUGUGUAGCGGUGAAAUGCGCAGAGAUAUGGAGGAACACCAGUGGCGAAGGCGACUUUCUGGUCUGUAACUGACGCUGAUGUGCGAAAGCGUGGGGAUCAAACAGGAUUAGAUACCCUGGUAGUCCACGCCGUAAACGAUGAGUGCUAAGUGUUAGGGGGUUUCCGCCCCUUAGUGCUGCAGCUAACGCAUUAAGCACUCCGCCUGGGGAGUACGACCGCAAGGUUGAAACUCAAAGGAAUUGACGGGGACCCGCACAAGCGGUGGAGCAUGUGGUUUAAUUCGAAGCAACGCGAAGAACCUUACCAAAUCUUGACAUCCUUUGACAACUCUAGAGAUAGAGCCUUCCCCUUCGGGGGACAAAGUGACAGGUGGUGCAUGGU
rnacentral:rRNA from 1 species